rnacentral:rRNA from 1 species
GCGAAAUGUGAUAAGUAAUGUGAAUUGCAGAAUCCAGUGAAUCAUCGAAUCUUUGAACGCAUCUUGCGCUCCUUGGCAUUCCGAGGAGCAUGCCUGUUUGAGUGUCAUUAAACUAUCAAAACACCUUUGUUUGGGGUGUUUUGGACUUUGGGAGUGUUUUGCUGGUUCAUUUGAGCCAGCUCUCCUCAAAUGCAUUAGCUUUGGAGACCAUCAGUGUGAUAACUUUGUUUACACUGACUGAGUGUGUCUCUGCUUCUUAAAAUUGCCCCCCUUUGACCUCAAAUCAGGUAGGACUACCCGCUGAACUUAAGCAUAUCAAUAAGCGGAGGAAAAGAAACUAACAAGGAUUCCCCUAGUAACUGCGAGUGAAGCGGGAAAAGCUCAAAUUUGAAAUCUGGCAGCCUUUUUUUUCUUCUUUGGCUGUCCGAGUUGUAAUCUAGAGAAGUGCUUACCUGUGCUGGACCAUGUAUAAGUCUCCUGGAAUGGAGCGUCGCAGAGGGUGAGAAUCCCGUCUUUGACAUGGACUGCCAGUGCGUUGUGGUGUGCUCUCAAAGAGUCGAGUUGUUUGGGAAUGCAGCUCUAAAUGGGUGGUAAACUCCAUCUAAAGCUAAAUAUUGGCGAGAGACCGAUAGUGAACAAGUACCGUGAGGGAAAGAUGAAAAGGACUUUGGAAAGAGAGUUAAACAGUAUGUGAAAUUGUUGAAAGGGAAACGCUUGAAGUCAGUUAUGUUGGCUAGGGAUCAACCUAGCUAUUUUAUUGUUGGGUGAAUUUCCUGGUCUGACAGGCCAACAUCAGUCUUGACUGCUGGAAAAGAGCAGAGGGAAUGUGGCACCUUUGGGUGUGUUAUAGCCCUUUGUCAUAUGUGGCAGUUGAGACUGAGGGAUGCAGCGUGCCGUGAGGCUGGGUUUCGACCACGUUCACGCUUAGGAUGUUGGCUUUUAAUGGCUUUAAUCGACCCGUCUUGAAACACGGACCAAGGAGUCUAACAUGCCUGCGAGUGUUUGGGUGGAAAACCCUUGUGCACAAUGAAAGUGAAAGUUGAGAUCCCUGUCAUGGGGAGCAUCGACGCCCGGACUUGAGCUAUUAGCGACGGAUCCGCGGUAGAGCAUGCAUGUUGGGACCCGAAAGAUGGUGAACUAUGCCUGAAUAGGGCAAAGCCAGAGGAAACUCUGGUGGAGGCUCGUAGCGAUUCUGACGUGCAAAUCGAUCGUCAAAUUUGGGUAUAGGGGCGAAAGAC